GUGGGCGUAGCUCAGUUGGUUAGAGCGCCAGAUUGUGAUUCUGGAAGUCGCGGGUUCGAUUCCCGUCGCCCACCCCA
rnacentral:tRNA from 1 species